UCCUGCUAGCACAUAGAUAUGUAGAGACGGUCCUCACAGCUUCUGAAGCUCACAUCCCUGGGCCACUUUGUGGAAGCCCCUGGAAACGGCCCACAGAGUCCUGUGCCGUGAGCUCCUGCCUGCAAUGCCCAUGGAUGAAAGGCGAUCCGAUCCUAGGAGGAGGGUCGGAGUCUAAGAUGUUAGGAGAAGAAGGCAGAGGGGUCAGUGUGGGUACUCUGCCCAUUACUGCUGGCCUGGAAGAUGAGAAGGAGAAGUGUCACUCAGGAAAUGCAAGCGGACUCUGCAGCCUGAGAGAGACCUGGUCAGAAGAAAUACAGCUCUCCCAGCCCCUUGGUUUCUAUGGAAUGUAACUCACUCAGAGUUGUGAACUCCACACUGUACGAGGGCAGAUUCCCAUUGUUUUAACCACUAGGUUUGUAGUGAUGGGAAAUUAAUGAGUGGUAAAUGUAAGCAGAGGGCUGGGGAGCAGCCCAGUGGUAGAGCGCCUGCCUUACAUGCCUAAGGCAGGCUGCGGAUCCCCAGUACUGCUUUAAGAAUAAGGUGCAAUGGCUGAUAAACCGUGUCAGCUUGAGAACUGAGAAAUUUAGAAGCUUAAGUAGGUGGUUCAGCAGGGGGCCAGUGCACUGCCUUUGUAAACAUCCUGAGCCCAUGCAAGAGGAGGGCAGGGGAUGAGGUGGGUCGUAGUCUGCACACGAUGUAGGGGAAGAGGACAGGCGUGCUUCCCCAUCCCUUUUGCUCUGGCUGCUUUUGAUGUCCUCUGCUGCCUUGAAGCAUUGCCCCUGUGCCACACCACCCUGCCUUGGAGUCAGCUGACUAUGAACUGAAACCUCCACAAACUGUGAGCUAAAUAAACCUUUCCUUCCUUAA